CUACGGAGGGGGUUAGCGUUGUUCGGAAUUACUGGGCGUAAAGCGCACGUAGGCGGAUUAAAAAGUUAGAGGUGAAAUCCCAGGGCUCAACCCUGGAACUGCCUUUAAAACUAGUAGUCUAGAGUUCGAGAGAGGUGAGUGGAAUUCCAAGUGUAGAGGUGAAAUUCGUAGAUAUUUGGAGGAACACCAGUGGCGAAGGCGGCUCACUGGCUCGAUACUGACGCUGAGGUGCGAAAGCGUGGGGAGCAAACAGGAUUAGAAACCCCAGUAGUCC
rnacentral:rRNA from 1 species